CAAGAGCUUAUUCCACUCUUGGACCUUAAAUACCACACACAACAUAAACCUAUCUCUUACGUGACCUCAAGAGAACCGGAAUCCCCAAGAAACCAAUGUUUCUAAGCAAGCUACCAACACAAAGAUUCCACCUUGCCACAAGGAUUCCACCUUGCAAGACACUCUAUGGUGCUCUCAAAACAUAUCAUCAAAGUCUAAAUGACAAAAUAACCUAAUUGUUCUAUUUAUAGGCUAGGGCAACACUUGUUACAUAAAUGACCAAAAAGGCCCUUAAUGAGCCCAAAUAAAGGGGCUCGGCUUCUUGGAUAGCUUUGGAGUGUUGGAACUUGUUCUCUACACUUUAAAUCUUUUUCCUUGGUUAGGCAGCCCAACAAGCUCGGGUCUUCCCUCACGUAUUCAUGUCCUCGAGUGAUAAGAUGCCUCUUUGACCCAUAUCAUCCUCCCCUCCUUAGAAAGGAUUCGUCUUCGAAUCCGAACCUUGCAAAAUAAUAGGAAGGACAAGAAAACACAAGUUCCUCAAGGAAUGAGGGUUAGGAUUAGCGUAGUCAAUCAUAGCAUCAUGCCAAGGUGCUCAAAUUUCACAUAUAACCAAACAUCCCUCGGGUUCUCAAAAAUGACACACCAAUCAUGGGAAACCCGAAUUACAUACAAAACAUGCUUAGCACCAACAUAACCAUACCCACACAAUGCACACACGUCAUUCCCGAAUAUGAUUUGAAAUGAAUCAACAUUACAUUUCCAAUGGUCACCGGGAUCAAAGGGGUAGAAUUUCCAUGGACACGGGUGGAGGACAUACUUCAUUUCCCCAAGACUACCACCAUUACACUCAUUGACACCCUCUAUACUAGCAUGAUCUACAACAAAAACAACUAGAUGGUCAUCCUUAGUUAAUCGGCCAACAUGUUCAACAUCACCAUUUUCACACACAAGUUGGUCUUCAUGACUUCCAUAAGACAAUGUACUAUCACUUGCCACAAUGGCUUCAACACUAGAUGGAUCAACUAGUGUUUCCACAAUCUCAAGUUGUACAUUAUCAUCACUAAAUGGAGACACAUUCGGCUCACCUAAAGGCAAACUAUCAUUCACACUUAGUUGACUUCUAGCCUCAUUCACUAAAGUGCAAGAGUUGGUUUGAUUACCUUGUAGCUCAUGUGGAGCAUGUCCACUCACGGGAACUUGAUUAGGAAGGCUUGGUUGCUCUACCAAGUUAUCCAACUCCUUGAAAAGAGAGCUUUCCAUCCCUUCCAUUUUUUCUUCCACUCGGUUUAUUAUUCUUUCCAUGCUCUCUAUUCGACUACUAAGGUCAUGUUUCAUACCCAUUAUGGCAGCCAUCAAAUCAUUCAUGGUCAUCUUUCCCGAUGUCAUAGUACCUAUUAAGAACACUAAAACAUAAUUAAAACAAUAACAUGUUAAUGUUAGCAAAAAUCAGUCCACGAGUCGACUCCAAACAAUCCACAAUUCCUCACUAUCACACUUUGAUGUUUUCACUCUAUUGGUCUCACAAGUGUUGAUAACUCGCUUAUACUCCAAUGAGGUUACUUGGUCCCAAUUGUGGCUCGAGGUCGGAGUAGAUUCUUGUUUGAAACGACUCAAAUAAGUAAUGUACGAACUUGAACCAAAAGAUACUACAACUCAAAAAUGAGAAAAGCAGAAAACAAACAACGUUAACACGAAGAAACGUAUUCAAAAAUUAAUUUACAAUCUAGUAGAGGAGUACUAGCUUGUCGAUUAGUUAUUAGAGUCAACAAACGAAACUAGGAACCAACAAUAAGAAACUAAGAAAAUCCAAAUUUGUGCCAAAAUUUGUUGUGUGAACUGUAACAGUGACGUGGCAGUCAUGUAUUGGUUGUGGCCUUACAAUUUUUUUAUUUUUCAAAAUUGGAAGUCUUGAACAAUUGGUGAUUUGGAAUUGGUGGGAAUUGUUUUGGAGGGAAACAAGUCUUGAAAUCCUCUUCAAAUUCAAAAGAAUGGAAGACUUGACUUUUUGCACUAGUUCCCUAAAACAAGGUCCUUAAAACAAGGAAAGUUGUUGAGAAGUGAUUGUCUAGUUGAUGGAUGAUUGCAAGUCUUACAAAACUAACAAGUUUUCACCUUUUUCCCUUUACCUUUUUAAGAUCUAGUAGUCACUUUAUUCAUCAAGUUAUGAAGGUUGUAAGAAUAUCAAGAACAUUUUCAUCAACCACCAAGAACUCAACAAUCUAAACGUCCACCUAUAACAACAACAACGCCAACAAGUCACGGCUAACACCACAAUAAACAACAAUAAUCGGCCACUCUUCAAGUUCACAACAACAACUCCAACAAGUUCAAGCUCAAGUUUAGAUUUUAGACUCAAAGUAUUAGUGAACAAGAAAUCCAAAACUUAGAAACAACUAAACAAACAAAAAUUCUUGGCCAACACACAACAAUAACACAAUUUUCGGCCACGAACACAAAAUGGACAGUUUUGCAAUUUUCAGAAAAUUUCAGUUUUCAACCUUUUUUUUUUUUUAAUUUUCAACCAAGGGAGCCAAGAUUGGUAUUGUAGGAACAAAACAAAAGAUGGCUUUGAUACCAAAUGAUACCGGAAUUGUCAAGAAGACAAGAAAACACACUCAAACAGUCCACAAAUCCGAAGAUUCAAGGACAGUUUAGAGACCACACUCGGAUUCAACAAUAACAACAAUAAUGAUGAGAUAAAGGGUGUAUUUUAACACCAAAACAGCCAACCCAAAGUACAAUUAAUAAAAACAAUGAGAAGACUAGAUGAACAACAACAAGGAUAUAACAAUAACAACAAGUCACGGGUUACAAUACUAGAACAAGAACACCAAUAAUUAGAACAAAGUAAAGAUAGAAAGAUAGACAAAUGGAGAUGUAAUAUUAACAAACCAAGAGCUUAUUCCACUCUUGAACCUUUAAUACCACACACAACAUAAACCUAUCUCUUAUGUGACCUCAAGGGAACCGGAAUCCCCAAGCAACCAACGUUUCUAAUUAAGCUACCAACACAAGGAUUCCACCUUGCAAGACACUCUAUGGUGCUCUCAAAACAUAUCAUCAAAGUCUAAAUGACAAAAUAACCUAAUUGUUCUAUUUAUAGGCUAGGGCAAC
rnacentral:lncRNA from 1 species